AUUGAACGCUGGCGGCAUGCCUUACACAUGCAAGUCGAACGGCAGCACGGGUGCUUGCACCUGGUGGCGAGUGGCGAACGGGUGAGUAAUACAUCGGAACGUACCUUAUCGUGGGGGAUAACGCAGCGAAAGCUGUGCUAAUACCGCAUACGCCCUGAGGGGGAAAGCGGGGGAUCGCAAGACCUCGCGCGAUUAGAGCGGCCGAUGCCUGAUUAGCUUGUUGGUGGGGUAAAAGCCCACCAAGGCGACGAUCAGUAGCUGGUCUGAGAGGACGAUCAGCCACACUGGGACUGAGACACGGCCCAGACUCCUACGGGAGGCAGCAGUGGGGAAUUUUGGACAAUGGGGGCAACCCUGAUCCAGCAAUGCCGCGUGAGUGAAGAAGGCCUUCGGGUUGUAAAGCUCUUUUGCCAGGGAAGAAACACCGGCUCUAACACUGUCCGGGAAUGACGGUACCUGAAGAGUAAGCACCGGCUAACUGCGUGCCAGCCGCCGCCGUAA
rnacentral:rRNA from 1 species